UCGUGAAGUCGGGGUACAUAUUUUUUCUCCGACUUCACAAGUGGCGUUCCACAGUACUUUUUCUAGUCGGAGGUCGAAAAUUUCCCAGUUCCGUGUUGCGUGGAACGUAGCGUUGUCUGCCAUCUCGGUGAGUGAAGAGGAACCGGACGGAGAGGGCAACCUGUUAGCACGUUCAACCUCAUUUAACGUUAGACAGGAUAAAGGAAAACAAUUUUUUCAAGGUUGGAAUACUAAAACCAUUGAAUUUCCAUUCUGUUCUGAUGCUGGUAAGGACACCAACUGGAGAUAAACCAUCUCAUUCCCCAGGAAGGUGAUGAGCAUGUACAGACCAGCACCAGCUCAAGGCCCACAAACCACCAUUGCCAGCCGACUGAGGUCCCGUGUCUGUCAAGCAUCACAACAGAUCAUUCAUAUGCCCGAUAUCUGAGAAGGAAUGUGACUGCUAUUCC